GAUGGAAGUCACGGUUCAGUGUUAUAAAUACCUCAUGAAUUCCCAUCUGAGGAUGGCAUGUUACACUGAACACUCACUUUUCCCAAAGUCCUGCCUCCGCUUAUGAUUUCUAUCGUAUCAUGUCUAUCCCUUUUUGUCCCACGAAGACUAGUAGAACUGAUGAGAUAACAGAGAAGCAACAGAAUAGCUGGUCAGAGGGUACCCUUUGAAGAGUCCCACUACAUGAGUGUCCAGUUUAUUCAGGUGUUCUUUUUCUUUGACAGUGCUGCUUCUCCUUGUCAAGCGCAAUACCUUUUGCAGUACUUCAUUAUUAUUAUUUUUCCCUACAUCUUUGCAUAUAUCAGACAUUACCAGCAUAGAGUGAGAGUUCUCUUUUCAACUUGUUCCAUUUGGUGAAUCUGACACUAAGAAGCUGAGUGAUUUAUUGGUUUUGAUACACAGGGACUCUUCUGCUCGACUUCUCAUGUACAGUUGUCUUGGCAAGUGGGAAAGAACAUGAGCUGCUGGCAAGAGAGAGAAUUACAGCAUGGGAUGAGAAGUGCUCUGCUAAGUCAGUCAGGACAACCUCAGACCUGGGGAGGGGACUCAUCAGCACAUUCUAACAUCUUUUCUGCUGCUUUCCUUCAUUGAGCAAAUACUUUUGGAACAAUCCUGCAGAAAAAGGAAUGUCACUGCAGAAUGGAGAAGAAACUUUAAUCCCAGCUCAGGUCUGGACAACCAGUGUGCUCACACAAGGUGUCACCUUUCAUGUCUUGUGGAGACAUCCUUGGACUAACCUUGUCAAAACACUAUUACAGCAGGCUGUGGUAUUGACACAGAAGGCAUUGCUGUUCUGCUUGGCAAGCUGUCACGGUUCGACCUGGUUUCCGUGACAAUGAAACCAUGACACAAGCACUGGGAAAUCCUAAUUUGAAAGUGAUGCUGAAACAUCAGAAGCUCACCAUCCACACGUUAAAAACAUAAAUGCACGCAGUGUGAGUGAAGAGUAUUCUUGUGAAUAAUAACUGCUGUUGUAUGAGUCCUGUUCCCUUUGUAUAAAGGAUUUAAUUCUGCAACAAUUAGAAGGAAAUGAAGAAAAGGGGCAACAUUCUGAGAUAUCUACACCUAGCAGAGAAGAAAAAGAUUUUAGUUGUGUUACAUAUUGAGAUAACUUUUGAAAUCCAAUACAUUCCUUAUUAUUGUUUAUAAUACUUUCUAAAUACCUGCCUCUAAUCUGUAACUUACUACUUAGGUCUGUAACAUGCUUGUAAGAUAUUUUUAAUUGAUCAUUGUGAGUGGAACUGUGUUCUAAAAUGUCAGUAAUAUUUAGAAAUACUGGAUGGCCAAGUUUAUUUUGUAUUGACAGAGUGUAUUUGCAUGUUUAGUAUGAUGAAGGCUGAUUUACUGUUGGAAAAUACAUGUGGUGCUGGAAGUGGAAAAGCGACUAUGUAUAUGAAAGUCUUUAAGAAGUACUUUUGGAUCAAUACAUUGCUGAACAGAGAUAUUUUUUAAUUUUUUUUAUUUUUUUUUUUCAUGAUUGCAAAUUUUAAAGGUAAGCAUAUGUUCUUAACAUCUUGAAGGAUUAAAUACUGCAGCAGCUUUUUCCAGCUAUCCAGAGCAUAAAAAUAUGCUUACCUAUAUCAUGCACACAUCUGUUCUUUCAGUGUCAGGCAGUAGCUCCUAUAGGUGUAGUGAAAUGCCUGAGGUUAAAUGCUGACUUUCUAACAGGAACUUCUGCAAUUGGAUUAGCCAUUUCAACAAAGUUAUCUGCCAGUUAUCCUUAUUUCUGUGCUCUUAACAAAUGGGUAGAUUUAACUACAGCAACAGUUUCCAUGCCUCUCUCUACUCUCAGUGGCCACAUUCAGUUUUCCAGCAGGGGCCACAUGAUAUUGUCUUCCCAGCUUGCAGUACCAAGGCACCACAGACAGAGCUUUAAU
ensembl:lncRNA